GACGAACCGUGCGAACGUUAUUCGGAAUCACUGGGCUUAAAGGGCGCGUAGGCGGGUCAUCAAGUCCGGGGUGAAAGCCCACGGCCCAACCGUGGAAGUGCCUUGGAUACUGAAGACCUCGAGGGGGAUAGGGGCGUGCGGAACUCAGGGUGGAGCGGUGAAAUGCGUAGAUAUCCUGAGGAACACCGGUGGCGAAAGCGGCGCGCUGGACCGGCAUUGACGCUGAGGCGCGAAAGCCAGGGGAGCAAACGGG
rnacentral:rRNA from 1 species